rnacentral:rRNA from 1 species
UAAUUGGGGCGACAGCCUGAUCAGCCACUGCCGCGUGCAGUGAAGAAGGCCCUAUGGGUUGUAAACUGCUUUUUGUACGGGAAGAAUGUCCCCCUUGCGAGGGGGAGUGACGGUACCGUAAGAAUAAGCAUCGGCUAACUCCGUGCCAGCAGCCGCGGUAAUACGGAGGAUGCAAGCGUUAUCCGGAUUCAUUGGGUUUAAAGGGUGCGUAGGCGGAUAUGUAAGUCAGGGGUGAAAUCCGGCAGCUCAACUGUCGAACUGCCUCUGAUACUGCAUGUCUAGAGUUGGCGUGAGGCAAGCGGAAUAUGACAUGUAGCGGUGAAAUGCAUAGAUAUGUCAUAGAACACCGAUCGCGAAGGCAGCCUGCCAAAGCCACACUGACGCUGAUGCACGAAAGCGUGGGUAGCGAACAGGAUUAGAUACCCUGGUAGUCCACGCCGUAAACGAUGAUCACUCGCUGCAUGCGAUAUACAGUAUGUGGCCAAGCGAAAGCGUUAAGUGAUCCACCUGGGGAAUACGAUCGCAAGGUUGAAACUCAAGAAUUUUGAGGGG